UUCCUACUCCCUCCGAUCCUAAAUUGUUGUCGAAAUAUUACAUGUAUCUAGACGCCUUUUAGGAAUAGAUACAUCCAUAUUUGGGCAAAUUUGAGACAAGAAUUUAGGAUCGGAGGGAGUAUUUU
rnacentral:pre_miRNA from 1 species